GAUGAAGAACGCAGCGAAAUGCGAUAAGUAGUGUGAAUCGCAGAAUUCAGUGAAUCAUCGAAUCUUUGAACGCACAUUGCGCCCCUUGGUAUUCCAUGGGGCAUGCCUGUUCGAGCGUCAUUUGUACCUUCAAGCUCUGCUUGGUGUUGGGUGUUUGUCUCGCCUCUGCGUGUAGACUCGCCUCAAAACAAUUGGCAGCCGGCGUAUUGAUUUCGGAGCGCAGCACAUCUCGCGCUUUGCACUCAUAACGACGACGUCCAAAAGUACAUUUUUACACUCUUGACCUCGGAUCAGGUAGGGAUACCCGCUGAACUUAAGCAUAUCAAUAGCGGAGGA
rnacentral:misc_RNA from 1 species